rnacentral:lncRNA from 1 species
AGAAACAAGAAAGAUUAUAGAUAAAGAGGGAUGUGACAUUAUAAAGUUGAGGAGGAAAAUAGUUGGUUGCAGUUAGUGCUCUCUGUAGGCCAAGCAAUUGAGUUAGUUAAAGACUAUAAACAGACUAAUACUGAAUGGACAAGUGUCAGAAUACUAAGUUACCUGUUUUCUUGGGCUUACUUCAAAGCUUGCCACGUCACCGCGUAUAUUAUUGUCAAAAAUCCCAUCCUAAUAGUAAGGAGUCCCACGGCUUUGAUCCGGUGGUAAGAGCAUAACACGUGAUGUAUGAGUUAGGCUCGUGUCACUUAUGUUGCUCGGACUCUUACAGAUGCCGACAGGUGCAUGUUGCAGCAAUUUUGGAGGAUCUGAUAUGAGUAACACAACAUUUUAGGGAGUCCAAGCAAUAUAGCAGCUCGUUCGUUUGAACUGUGUCGCAGUAGGCCCAUGUCAUUUAUGUUGCUCGGACUCUUACAGACACUGACAGGUGCAUUUUGCAGCAUUUUUGGAAGAUCCGCUAUGAGUAACACAACAUUUUGGGGAGUCCAAGCAAUAUAGCAGCUCGUAUUGGUUUGAACUGUGUCGCAGUAGGCCCAUGUCAUUUAUGUUGCUCGGACUCUUACAGAUACCGACAGGUGCAUUUUGCAGCAUUUUUGGAGGAUCCGAUAUGAGUAACACAACAUUUUGGGGAGUCCAAGCAAUAUAGCAGCUCAUUUGUUUGAACUAUGCUGCACGACAAACAAGAGUGAUGUUUAACUGGAAAAGGAUAGAAGGGGUCAUUAUCCAUCGAGUUUCAAACCAAACAUCACUGUCCUCGACCAGGGAUAACUCGGUUAUCAGAAAUAGCAAAAAUAAAAAGAAAGUGGGUUGCCAUCAAUGGUCAUCCCACACCAACUUCCUGACAAAUCUUGAAAUGGAUAUAACUUGUAUCAGUCAUCUCCAAAUAAACAUCAAAAGUCAAAUUUCUCUAGAGCAAUAAAGAUGCAAAUCUCUUAACAUGUUUCUCUUGUCUA